AGGAUGCAGCACUCAAGGCACCACCUUGGGAGCAGAGAUCAGGCCCUCACCAGACACCAAACUUGUUGGUGCCUUGAUCUUUGACUUCCCAGCCUCCAGAACUGAUAAAUGAGAUUUGCAAUCUUGUUCACCUUCACUUACGUUAAAAAAGUGAGCUUCCACCUCACUACUCACAUAUUAAUUAAAUGCUGACACAUUUUGCUUGCUUUCUUACAGGUGAAUUCCUGUAACACAAUCUUCACUUAUGUUUUUAUUAACACGUAAAACAUCUUUACCUCCACUGUCUUCUCUUCAUAAAAAGGCCUUCUCCACUCCAAAUCAGGUAAACACUACAGAUUGCUACAGAUGAAUGCUACUGACAUGCUAAAGACUAUAUGACAAUUCCUUUUAAAGUCAGACACUCAAUUGUGAAAGAUGUGUGAACAAUCCAAUGAUGGAUGUCCGUUAGUUCAGUGCUGUCAAGCUGAGUUACUACUCCACAUCUCUGAUACUGAUGCUGUUUUUGCAGUCAUGAUUGAGUCGUUGAAGAAAAAAGCACUCUACAGAGUUCUGCCCAACUGUGUCCAAACAAGCAGCAACUUGAAAUAUCAUUGGCUUACUCAGCAGCAUCAGAACCCACAAAGCAAAGAGGUUAGAUCCAUCCAAGAGACUUUUCUGCAGCAGUAAAUGGAUUUGCCCUCUUUAGAGCAGGGAGCACAGCUCCAACACAAUUAUUCUUAUUGGAACAGACUAAGGAAUUUACUUCAAAUGAGGUUGUUGGUUGUCCUGUGAAAGCUGUGUCAGAAUAAAUAUUCAACUGCUCUUUGGAGGCAUAAUUUG
rnacentral:lncRNA from 10 species